rnacentral:rRNA from 1 species
AGUGAACGCUGGCGGUAUGCCUAACACAUGCAAGUCGAACGGCAGCACAGGAGAGCUUGCUCUCUGGGUGGCGAGUGGCGGACGUGUGAGGAAUACAUCGGAAUCUGCUCAGUCGUGGGGGAUAACGUAGGGAAACUUACGCUAAUACCGCAUACGACCUUCGGGGGAAAGAGGGGGAUCGCAAGACCUCUCGCGAUUGGAUGAGCCGUUGUCGGAUUAGCUAGUUGGCGGGGUAAUGGCCCACCAAGGCGACGAUCCGUAGCUGGUCUGAGAGGAUGAUCAGCCACACUGGAACUGAGACACGGUCCAGACUCCUACGGGAGGCAGCAGUGGGGAAUAUUGGACAAUGGGCGCAAGCCUGAUCCAGCCAUACCGCGUGGGUGAAGAAGGCCUUCGGGUUGUAAAGCCCUUUUGUUGGGAAAGAAAUCUUUCAGGCUAAUACCCUGGGAGGAUGACGGUACCCAAAGAAUAAGCACCGGCUAACUUCGUG